CGACCGUUGAAGGUGGGUGUACACGACGCAUGUGAAGCAUAGGCAGGAGCAGCGCCCGACGUAUCUUUUUCGGAAAAUAGCUGCAUACCAAAGGAACUGUGAUUUUUCUGGUCUCGACCUGGAGCGCAUGGUCAAGGAUGUCUUGAGCCACCUGCCCGUAACGUACGCAGAGCACGAACACUGGCCCGAACAGUUCAUUGCCGGUUUUCUGUCGUCUUCAGUCGUCUACACUGGUUUAGAGAAACUCAAACUUUUUGGUCCUCCUGUGCCAUACUGCAAAAACGCAUCGAGGCUCGUACAAUUUGAUUUGGCGACGAGAGGAGAUGAUCAGAUUGGCGCCUGGGCCCGCUGGAAGACAUGAAAUGGUCUGAACGGAACAUUCGGCACCUACACUGGAGCGAGAGUGACCGUAACGUUCGAGGUUGUAAACCCAAGCGAUCCUCGCCGUGGUGCCAACGGCCCAGUCCUUACACAUCACAGCAGUCCAAGGCCUGUUUUCAUUGACAAGAUGGCACUUUUCCUUGAUGGAGCCGGGGACGUCAUGGCUACGGUGACAGCGGUGGUGGGGAAGCUAUUUCCUCAAAUUUCCAAAGAGUUUUGGAUUGAUGUGCUUACAUCAAAAUUGGGAAACAUAUUAUCAAUUGUCUCGAUCCCCUGAGAAUAUGAGCAUCUCUUUACUAUGAGGAUGUCAGAUAGUAAAGCAUCAUCAACCGGUCUUGUUACUCUGAAAUAUAGAAAUAUUGACUCGGGAUGCGGAAGUUCAAUUUAUUUGAUGCCACUUGGGCCAUUCAAGCAUUUUCUUGUGCAAGUGGGCUGAAGUAGUGUUUUUCUGAUGAUUUGGAAGCAGAUUUCUUGAAUUGAGGAAGCUGAGGCUGUGUAGAGAGCCUUUCUGGUUAUUUUGUGACACAUUUGGUGU